UACGUAGGGUGCAAGCGUUGUCCGGAAUUAUUGGGCGUAAAGAGCUCGUAGGCGGCUUGUCACGUCUGCUGUGAAAACUCGGGGCUCAACCCCGAGCCUGCAGUGGAUACGGGCUAGCUAGAGUGCGGUAGGGGAGACUGGAAUUCCGUGGUGUAGCGGUGAAUGCGCAGAGUAUCGGGAAGAACACCUAUGGCGAAGGCAGCUCUCGUGGGACGGUACUGACGCUGAGACGCGAAAGCGUGGGGAGCGAACAGG
rnacentral:rRNA from 1 species